rnacentral:rRNA from 1 species
UACGGGGGGGGCAAGCGUUGUUCGGAAUUACUGGGCGUAAAGGGCUCGUAGGUGGCCAACUAAGUCAUACGUGAAAUCCCUCGGCUUAACCGGGGAACUGCGUCUGAUACUGGAUGGCUUGAGGUUGGGAGAGGGAUGCGGAAUUCCAGGUGUAGCGGUGAAAUGCGUAGAUAUCUGGAGGAACACCGGUGGCGAAGGCGGCAUUCUGGACCGACAUUGACGCUGAGGAGCGAAAGCCAGGGGAGCAAAUGGG